rnacentral:rRNA from 1 species
CCUACGGGAGGCAGCAGUGGGGAAUUUUGGACAAUGGGCGCAAGCCUGAUCCAGCCAUGCCGCGUGCGGGAAGAAGGCCUUCGGGUUGUAAACCGCUUUUGUCAGGGAAGAAACGCUUUGGGCUAAUACCCUAGGGUAAUGACGGUACCUGAAGAAUAAGCACCGGCUAACUACGUGCCAGCAGCCGCGGUAAUACGUAGGGUGCAAGCGUUAAUCGGAAUUACUGGGCGUAAAGCGUGCGCAGGCGGCUAUGCAAGACAGAUGUGAAAUCCCCGGGCUCAACCUGGGAACUGCAUUUGUGACUGCAUAGCUAGAGUACGGUAGAGGGGGAUGGAAUUCCGCGUGUAGCAGUGAAAUGCGUAGAUAUGCGGAGGAACACCGAUGGCGAAGGCAAUCCCCUGGACCUGUACUGACGCUCAUGCACGAAAGCGUGGGGAGCAAACAGGAUUAGAUACCCUGGUAGUCCACGCCCUAAACGAUGUCAACUGGUUGUUGGGAGGGUUUCUUCUCAGUAACGUAGCUAACGCGUGAAGUUGACCGCCUGGGGAGUACGGCCGCAAGGUUGAAACUUACAAAGNGUAAGUUGGACGGUCGUGACGACGUCGACCGAGGCACGACGGAGGGAGUUAGG